AUUGAACGCUGGCGGCAUGCCUUACACAUGCAAGUCGAACGGCAGCACGGGAGCAAUCCUGGUGGCGAGUGGCGAACGGGUGAGUAAUAUAUCGGAACGUGCCCAGUCGUGGGGGAUAACGCAGCGAAAGCUGUGCUAAUACCGCAUACGAUCUACGGAUGAAAGCGGGGGAUCGCAAGACCUCGCGCGAUUGGAGCGGCCGAUAUCAGAUUAGCUAGUUGGUGAGGUAAAGGCUCACCAAGGCGACGAUCUGUAGCUGGUCUGAGAGGACGACCAGCCACACUGGAACUGAGACACGGUCCAGACUCCUACGGGAGGCAGCAGUGGGGAAUUUUGGACAAUGGGAGCAAGCCUGAUCCAGCAAUGCCGCGUGCAGGAUGAAGGCCUUCGGGUUGUAAACUGCUUUUGUACGGAACGAAACGGUGAGCUCUAAUACAGUUUGCUAAUGGCGGUACCGUAAGAAUAAGCACCGGCUAACUACGUGCCAGCCGCCGCCGUAA
rnacentral:rRNA from 1 species